rnacentral:tRNA from 1 species
GCCCUCGUAGCUCAAUGGCAGAGCAGCAGACUCUUAAUCUGUUUGUUGUAGGUUCAAGUCCUACCGGGGGCA